AUCACUCUUCUUCAUUUUUUCUAGUCAUUUUUGCAACUCUCAAAGGGUAUUUCUUUCUUCUCCCUUUUCUUUUACUACUUUUAUAAAAUUUUUGACAUUUUCUUUAAAUCUUCUCCAUCUUUCUAUUCCAUUUGCACUUUCUACUCUUCAUCCCUUUGUUUUUGAUGUCAAAUCCUGGAGAUGAGUUCGGAGAUGAGAGCCACUUGAGGGAUCAAGCCUCUCAGUCUUUAGUUCCUUGAGAGAUGCCAGAGGACAUUCCUCAGUCAUCAAUCGAAGUGGACUCUUCAUCCCAUCCAGGGCAUUCCUCGAUCUGAGGAUCGAAAAGUUCAAUCUUCGAGCAUUUCUCUGGUCUGGGGCACAAAGAGUCCAUACUGAUUGAAGCUGAUUUGGGGCAACUCCGGGGUCAAUAUUAUUUUUCGAGUUGGUAUUAGUCCUAAAUCCAGAAGGUCGGAUGACCCUUCCUCAAGAGGAUCGCAUCGGUAUUUAUGAAGAGUUUCUUCGAUCUAAGCUUUAUUUACUUUCUCACCCAUUUAUUUACAAUAUUUUUGACCUUUAUCGGAUCAUUCUCACUUGACUUUUCCGAAUUCGAUCCGAAUACUUUGUU
rnacentral:lncRNA from 1 species